AGCAUACCCUGUGAAGGAAACAUAGUAAGCAAAACUGGUAAAACCCAAAACGCCAGGUCGAGGUGUAGCAUACGAAAAGGAAAGAAAUGGGCUACAUUUCCUACUUUUAGGAAAAACGAAUUGUGUUAUGAAACAGCACAUGAAGGAGGAUUUAGCAGUAAGAAGAAAACAGAGUGUUCUACUGAACCCGGCCCUGAAGCACGCACACACCGCCCGUCACCCUCCCCAAAUCAAAAUACAUCUUUUUUUAAAAAUUUACCAUAACCAAAGGGGAGGUAAGUCGUAAC
rnacentral:rRNA from 1 species